rnacentral:lncRNA from 1 species
AAAAUACCUCUCAGCAAAUCGACAUAGAGGGAGGAAAGAGUUAAUGUGGCUCAGUCUCAGAGGUUUCAGACCAUGGCUGGCUGACCCUGUUGGUCUAGGCCUGCGGUGAGGCAGAACAUCAUGGCGGCUGGACUGUGUGUCUGAGAAGGGGGUCCCUUCUCAUGGUGGCUGAAAGGAGAGUGAGGGCGAGACAGACAGGGUGAGAGAGAGAGAGGAGGGUAAGGGCUGGGGACAUGAUACAUCCUUCAGGAAACGCUGCCAGUGACCUGCCUCCUCAUCAAAGCUCCGCCUCCUAACAUUUCCACCAUUUCCCCACAUCCACUCACUUAGGAACCCACGGGUGGAUUCAUCCAUUGAUGGGAUCAAGGCCCUUGUGCCCCACAUCCGCCCCUGCAGGGCCAGUCCUUCAGCACGGGGCUCUGGGGCUCACGUCAUCCUGACCUCAACACCCAGGCCUGAUGGCCCCACCCACUUGCAGGAGCGCGGCCCUUGUCACAUGAUCACGUGACAGUCCCCUCCAGCCCGCACACCUCACGGGAGUCUGUCGACAUUCAAACUGCAGCAGGCCUGACAAAAUGAGCCAAACUCAAGAACACGCUUUUUAUAUUUUGUCCAGCAACUCAAGGUGCUCUGUAAUAGAAGCUUCUCUACCCAUGUGAUCCAUAAAAUUCAUCCAAGGUUUUCUUCGUUUUUGCAGCGCUGCAGACUGAGCCGAGGCCUUGAGAUAGGGGCACCUGUCCUACCGCUGUGCCACACAGCCCCUCCGAGACUCCCUUCCACUGCCCGAUGGGCCGUCACGGGUCACUCGGUCAUUAUCUGCCUCCUCGGACCAGGCAGUGAAGCUCAGGUCACAUCCUGCACACUCGUGGCUCGCUGGGCGCCUGCUGAAGGAAAGAACAGCCCCCCCGGGGCAGUUCGACCCCCGAUGGAAGAAUCCCUCACACGAAUCCACCGAAUCUACAAGGACCCUUUUAGAACUCAGUCGAGAAAUGGCAGAGACCAUUCCCGGGAGAUCUCCACUUCCUCCAUCUCCCGUGGAAACAUGUUCUUCCAAAAAAACUAAGCUCUCUUGAGACACAUUAAAUAGAAUUUGAUUUUGAAAGUUUACAUUUUCCAGACACAGA